rnacentral:lncRNA from 1 species
GUCUCGUACGUUUUUGGGGCCCUGGCUUGUCCACGGCUGUCGUCCCACAUGUAACCUCUAUCAGCAAUCUUCGGCCAGCCGGUGGCGGCAACCUGCCCGGCCCUCGUGCGCCUCCUGGGUGCCCUCAGCUACCUGCCUCCGGUCACAAUCCUACGCCCGGCUGUGCUGUUGCCAGGGCCCUGGUGCUUUGCACUUCCGCUCUGGGGCAAUCCAGUCUUGCCGUGUGCGGCGGGGCUUCAGGCGGGUGGCUUGGAACGUGACUUCCCAGCUCUCAUGGCGCUGCCGGGUCUGCUCACGCUCGGCACGGCAGUGCGGUGCUGGGAGGCGCUGGCCGCGGUGCGCCAGCUGGUGGCUUCCAAACCGGCUGGUGCGCUCGGGCCGCGCCUCGCACGUCGCUGCACUAUACAGUACAAGCGGUCCGUCCUGCGCCCCAUCCUGCGCAUUACGGAUAUGGCGCGCGUGCCGCCGGAGCUGCAGUCCGGCCCGGAUGCUGCUGCCCAAUUCUCCGCGCUGCUGGCCCGUGUACCGGCGGCGUGGAGGGUGGCGGCGUCGGCCACACUGCAUGCGCCUGGCGGCGCGGCCUCCGCGCCUCCUGCCCCCCAGGUAUGGCUGCUGCUUGCGCAGAGCCUGGGGUGGCGGCAUGGCGCGGCUGACGUGCCCUUGCUGACCCUUACGGUGAAGCAGGCAACCCAGCUUCAACUUGCGCCUGCGUACGACGCGCUCCGCGUGCGUCACUUGGCCUUCAUCCAAGAGGCCUACAGCGGUGCCGCGCCGCCAGCGGAAGCGAUUCAUGCGCUGCGGGCGGCCCUGGCGCGGCUGUGGGCUUUGGUGUGGGAGCCGCGACACAAGGAACCGCUCUGGCGUCUGGCAGUCAAUGGGUUCACGGGCUUUGGGAUGCUUGCGGCGUGGGCCGCAGAUGGACGCGUGGAGAAAUGCCCGUGUGGGACUCAGAUGACUGCUGGGGCUAGGGUUCAUCACUUCUGGGACUGUGUGGUGGCGGAGGCUCUGCGUGAUGUGAUGCGGGAGCAUGCGAAUGUGGACAUCACACGGAACCAGUUGUGGUUAGUACAGGCGCCACCAGGGCUAUCGCAGGCGGUGUGGGACAUCGUGUGCUUGGCUGCUGUGGCGGCCCUGGAAUACGGCCGACAGCGCCUUUACGCUUGCCGUGAUGCUGCAGACCGGACUGCGGAGGUUGCUGUUGUGCGAAGGAUAGGUGUGGAGGUGAUUGCGGACUUCUGGUCACGGCUAGCUGCGUUUGUGAGUCUGCGUCGGCCUCCGCGCCGCUGGGACCUUGUCCCGAACCAGCACCCAUUCCUAGCGUCAGAUGAUGUUGGAGGGGUUAUCUUGGUAGGGCCAACAGCGGACUCGCCACCGGCCUCACCCUAGCUUGUCAGCUUAGGGACUCGCAAGAGGUAGUCUUAUGACGCCGACCCACGGCUUAGGUGAGCAGCGCUAGCGUUUGCGGUGAGCCGGGCCUGGGGUUCCUCCCCUCUCCGGAGGCGAGGAGCAUGGGGGUCAUUCGGGGAUCUCUCCUCGGGUGAGCGUGCGUGUCUCGUACGUUUUUGGGGCCCUGGCUUAGUCCACGGCUGUCGUCCCACAUGUAACCUCUAUCAGCUAAACGCCCGCCCGUGGGCUUUGUACGCGGGUGGUCUUGCGCCACGAUGCCGGAGUUGGGUGCCGCCACGAUGCCGGAGUUGGGUGCCGGAGUCACAUCAAGGUCGCAAGAUCGAAACCCGUCAGGAACAGUUCGGCUCCGUUACCUGUGUAGGCACUGAACAUACUUGUGCCGAACUUCCCCGAACGAGCGCCAUCUCGGCCUUCCUAGGUCGCUGCUCUACGGGUGAGGACGCUGGUGCGGCGGGUUCUGAAAAUCAGAUUCAUCCAACCAUUGGUUGGUCCUGCCAUUCGGGCUCACCAACGCUCCUGCUACGUUUCAAGCCACUAUGAACCGCAUCUUUGCGCCGUUCCUGAACCGGUUUGUGACUGUGUAUUUGGAUGACAUCCUCAUUUUCAGUCGCACCGCUGAAGAACAUGAACAACACCUCCGCCAAGUGUUGGCCUGCCUCCGUAAAUGGAAACUACACGCCAAACUUAGCAAGUGCGAGUUCUGGCGCAGUGAGGUGAAAUACUUGGGGCAUAUUGUCAGUUCGGAUGGAAUCCGCAUGGAUCCAAAGAAAGUUGAGCAAAUCCGUCAGUGGCCGCGUGACCUGUCUGAAUUGCGGUCAUUUGUUGGUUUAGCCAACUAUUUCCGCCGGUUUAUUGCUGGUUUUGCAUCCCUGGCCGCACCGUUCACCAACAUGUUCUCACCAGAGGUCGGCAAACGCAUUUUUUCUGCUGCGGGUCCCAGACCGAUUUCGGUAAAUCCCCACCGGGGGGUGUGGGGGGUGUCCCCCCAGCCGGGGGUCCGGGGGCGGGAGCCCCCGGAGAAAAUUUUCGCAUAUCGGGCCUCAAAUAUGUGCUUUUUACAAGGGUUUCCGCGUGUGCAAGGCUUGCAUUCGUCUUACAUGUUCAACAGCACAUGUCUGGACAGCUGCUCUGUGGCAGGCAGCCACAAAUCCUCGCAAUCCCCCUCUGUUCCGCGCAAGCCAGCCCCAGGGCAGCAGCCCCAAAGAAAUUUUUUUGGAUUGCGCUUCAAAUUGCGACAUUUUCAAGAUGUUUGGGGGGCAUUUUGGCUAAACCAAGAGCAAGUCAAUCAUGUUUUGGGUCGGUUUUGGGGGGCAGUUUUGCUUUCUGGAGCGAUUUCGGUAGUGUAAGUACCCGCAGCGGUUGACUAUUUUCGAUUUCGGUUGCGGGUACUUCGGGGGGCCCCGAAGGACCCGAGGCUUAUGCCGACCUCUGGUUCUCACUCACGCGCCUACCGGACACUUGGCCUCCGCAGGCCCUGCACGCGUUUGAACAAAUCAAAGAACGCCUGUCAACCGAUGUGCUUUUGCGUUAUCCUGAUUUCUCGAAGCCCUUUGUCGUCAUGUCCGACGCUUCGCUGAACGGAACGGGUGCUGUCUUGUUGCAAGAGGACCGACCGGUCGCUUUUACCAGCAAGAAGUUCUCCCCUGCUGAACGCAACUACAGCACUGGUGAACAAGAACUGUUGGGUGUGGUAAACGCCCUGCGUGAAUGGCGUUGUUACCUGCAGAGCGCGCUACCUUUUACUUUGUACACGGACCAUCAUCCGUUGAUCUACCUCAAGACCCAAGCACACCUUUCAAGACGUCAAGCCCGCUGGGUGGAGCUCCUGUCUGAGUUCCAUUUCGACUGGGUCUACCGCCCAGGCAAGCUCAACGUAGUUGCUGAUGCCCUGUCUCGACACCCGUCGCUGUCCUUCCUGCAUGCUAUGCAAACCCGCCGUCAAGCUGCCGCCGCGGCUUCCUCGCCGCCUGCUCCCUCUGCGACGCCCUCUGCGCCUCGUGCCCGUGCUGCGCACGCACCUGCGCCUGUUUCCUCUGGGCCUGUCGCUACCUUCACAGCACGUAUUGCUGCGGCUGUGCGAGCUGAUACCUGGUUUCAGGAUGCGGCUAACGUGCGUGGUCUGGCUACGAGCCCUGAUGGUCUCUUUUUGCGGGAGGAGGAGGGGAGUUGGCGCAUCCUUGUGCCUAAUGACCCUGAUCUGAAACGCGAUAUCAUUGCGAGUUGCCAUUCUGAACGCCUCGCCGGACACCAGGGUCGUGAUCGCACUACUGAGCUGGUUCGCCGUACGUUUACGUGGCCUACCCUGACCCGCGAUGUGGCUGACUUCGUAGCGUCCUGUGACGCCUGCCAACGUUCCAAGCCUGCUUCUGGCAAGCCUGCUGGCAAGCUUCAACCGCUGCCUAUCCCGGAACUACCUUGGGAGAGUGUGUCUAUGGACUUCAUUACGGGUUUACCUCGUACGCAGCGUCACAAUACCGCUAUCUGCGUGUUUGUGGACCGCCUGACUAAGAUGGUGCACAUCGCGCCCUGUUCCCACGAAAUCAAUGGACAGCAGACUGCUGACCUAUUCUUUGACUCUGUGGUUCGCCUGCAUGGCCUGCCUCGUGAGAUUGUGUCUGACCGCGGCACAGUAUUCACCGGAGCUUUCACUACCGCGCUGACUAAGCGCCUGGGAAUUAAGCAGUCUUUGUCUACCGCUUUCCACCCCCAGACUGAUGGGCAGACUGAACGGAUUAAUCGUAUCUUGAAUGAUAUGAUGCGGAACUUUUGUGAUGGAAAUCACGCGAAUUGGGACCGGUACUUGUCGGCCGCUGAGUUUGCGAUUAACAAUGCGCAGAACCGUUCCACCGGCAAGUCCCCUUUCUUCCUGACUUACGGCGUCCACCCUAAGACACCGCUGACACUGGACGUUGGAAAUUCCGUCCCUGCCGCUAAGCAUUACACAGAUAACCUUAUGGAACGUCUGAACGCUGCUAAGCGCUGUUUGCAAGCCGCGCAAGACCGCGCCCGCCAAGAUGCAGACCGACACCGCCGUGCCGUGACUUUUACGGAAGGUCAGAUGGUGUUGCUGAGCACAAAGAACUUUCGUGAGUAUCAAGGCAAGCACAAGAAGCUUAUGCCCCGAUGGGUUGGACCCUUUCCAAUUGAGAAGAUGAUUAACCCUGUUGCGGCUCGCUUGACGCUACCGCCUGGUGAAGAAAAGCACAACGUGUUUCACGUCUCUUUGCUGCGACCAUACCGCCAGCCUGCUGACGCCACGCCUGUUCGUGUGCUACCCUUGCCUGUUACGUCCAAUGGCACUCCCACUCUGCGUGCUGAGCGCAUUCUGGACCAUGAGACACGCAAGCUGCGGAACCGUGAGAUUCACCGUUACUACGUGAAAUUCGUAGGACGAGACAUGGAGAACAACCAAUGGUUGGAUGAAUCUGAUUUUCCUGAUCGCACCUUGAUUGAUGCCUAUUGGGCUUCACGACAGGUUGCCAGUUCUGUACCUUCUACUUGAGCUGCGGGACGCUAGCUCUUGGAGGGGGAGCAGUUGUUGUAGAGCAUAUUGUUAUAUGCGAUAUAUGAUAUGACACGCUACGGUGUCCAGAAUUGGGGCUGUUCUAGCUACGAGUCUAGAACCUGCAAUGUGUCCAGAGAUGGGCCGCUGCAUGGAGUGCAGUACGCUCGGCGACACUUGAAAUAGUCCUAACUGGCCGGCAGCCAGUAACAUAGGUGACCUGUGCACUAGCCCUGCUAAGGUCUUGCUAUUGUUAGCCGGGUCGGCACCGGCUUAGGGCAAUAGCUCUCGCUAAUUGGCAUAGAGCCGCCUACAACAUUUGGUGCGCAAUCAAGCCAUCUGUACUUGGCGCCGGCCCAGGCCCUCUUCGCCUACCUCGACCGCGCGGGCUUUGGUGUCUCCUGGGCGGAUAUCCGCCUCGUAGCUACUGCCUUUGCGGACGACGCUGCGCCGUUCUUGCGUCGGAUGGCCAACGUGCCUGGUUUCCUGGCAGCUAUGGAGACCUUCCGCGCCGCCUCUGGGCAGCGCCUUAACCUCGACAAAGUGGAGCUUCUGCCCAUCGGUGCACGGCGCCGCGCCACUCCUGCUCCCACCCGCGCUGUCGCUGCUGGCUUGGCGGCUGGCGGCGCAGCGGCUGGCAACAUGGCAGCUCACGGCGUGGCGGCGACCAGUGUGGCAGCUGCCGGCGGCAUGGCUGCCGGCGGCGCGGCGGCUGGUGGCGCGGUGGCUGGCGGCGGCCCCGGCACCAGCCACUCUGGUGGGGGCAUCUUGGCGGCCGGUGGUGCGGUGCCUUCUCGGGCGGGCGCGGUUUGGGCAGCUGCCGGUGUUGUGGUCACUGGUGGCGUGACGGCCGGCGGCUCUGCCGCGGGUGCUGGCGGUGCCGUAGCCGCGCCUGCCCCGCCCAACACAGUUGCUAUGGCGCAUGGCUUGCGCGUAGUCUCGCACUCGCGCACGCUGGGUGUGGUCUUCUACGACCUCCCACUUGGCACGGCUGCAGCCCAGGGGGCUCCUUCCCUCUCCCCUGCCAUUGGCACCCUGGGGACGCUCUGCGGCCUCCCCCUAACUGCCUUUGGCCGUGGCUUCUGUGCCUCCUCCUACGCCGUCAGCCGUGUGCUCUACCAUAUGGAGUUUGCGGGUCUGCCGCCGCAGACGGUUUUGGCAGACUUCCUCAAAACGCUUGUGCGGUUUGUGGACCGCCGCAUCAUCGUUGCCACGCCGCAAGGUGCUGGCCGGGCCCGACCUCCCGGCCUCCCCUCCGACUGCGUCGCCCUGCCGCCACGCGAUGGCGGCUUUGGACUGCUGCCGGUGGUGGAACACGUGCGCGCCCGACACGCUGUGUUGGCUGUGCGCUGGCUGCAGCACAUGCACGGCUCUGCGGCUGGCACCUACGUACCGCCGUGGACAGCCGCCGCCACCGCCCUGGUGCAGCAGCUACACACGGCCGCCCACCCCCUCUGCGUCCUGACGAUGCAGCGGGCGGCCGGCGGUGUCGGACCCGCUGCCGAUGGCUGUGCAAUCUUCGGCCAGCCGGUGGCGGCAACCUGCCCGGCCCUCGUGCGCCUCCUGGGUGCCCUCAGCUACCUGCCUCCGGUCACAAUCCUACGCCCGGCUGUGCUGGUGCCAGGGCCCUGGUGCUUUGCACUUCCGCUCUGGGGCAAUCCAGUCUUGCCGUGUGCGGCGGGGCUUCAGGCGGGUGGCUUGGAACGUGACUUCCCAGCUCUCAUGGCGCUGCCGGGUCUGCUCACGCUCGGCACGGCAGUGCGGUGCUGGGAGGCGCUGGCCGCGGUGCGCCAGCUGGUGGCUUCCAAGCCGGCUGGUGCGCUCGGGCCGCGCCUCGCACGUCGCUGCACUAUACAGUACAAGCGGUCCGUCCUGCGCCCCAUCCUGCGCAUUACGGAUAUGGCGCGCGUGCCGCCGGCGCUGCAGUCCGGCCCGGAUGCUGCUGCCCAGUUCUCCGCGCUGCUGGCCCGUGUACCGGCGGCGUGGAGGGUGGCGGCGUCGGCCACACUGCAUGCGCCUGGCGGCGCGGCCUCCGCGCCUCCUGCCCCCCAGGUAUGGCUGCUGCUUGCGCAGAGCCUGGGGUGGCGGCAUGGCGCGGCUGACGUGCCCUUGCUGACCCUUACGGUGAAGCAGGCAACCCAGCUUCAACUUGCGCCUGCGUACGACGCGCUCCGCGUGCGUCACUUGGCCUUCAUCCAGGAGGCCUACAGCGGCGCCGCACCGCCAGCGGAAGCGAUUCAUGCGCUGCGGGCGGCCCUGGCGCGGCUGUGGGCGUUGGUGUGGGAGCCGCGACACAAGGAACCGCUCUGGCGUCUGGCAGUCAAUGGGUUCACGGGCUUUGGGAUGCUUGCGGCGUGGGCCGCAGAUGGACGCGUGGAGAAAUGCCCGUGUGGGACUCAGAUGACUGCUGGCGCUAGGGUUCAUCACUUCUGGGACUGUGUGGUGGCGGAGGCUCUGCGUGAUGUGAUGCGGGAGCAUGCGAAUGUGGACAUCACACGGAACCAGUUGUGGUUAGUACAGGCGCCACCAGGGCUAUCGCAGGCGGUGUGGGACAUCGUGUGCUUGGCUGCUGUGGCGGCCCUGGAAUACGGCCGACAGCGCCUUUACGCUUGCCGUGAUGCUGCAGACCGGACUGCGGAGGUUGCUGUUGUGCGAAAGAUCGGUGUGGAGGUGAUUGCGGACUUCUGGUCACGGCUAGCUGCGUUUGUGAGUCUGCGUCGGCCUCCGCGCCGCUGGGACCUUGUCCCGAACCAGCACCCAUUCCUAGCGUCAGAUGAUGUUGGAGGGGUUAUCUUGGUAGGGCCAACAGCGGACUCGCCACCGGCCUCACCCUAGCUUGUCAGCUUAGGGACUCGCAAGAGGUAGUCUUAUGACGCCGACCCACGGCUUAGGUGAGCAGCGCUAGCGUUUGCGGUGAGCCGGGCCUGGGGUUCCUCCCCUCUCCGGAGGCGAGGAGCAUGGGGGUCAUUCGGGGAUCUCUCCUCGGGUGAGCGUGCGUGUCUCGUACGUUUUUGGGGCCCUGGCUAGUCCACGGCUGUCGUCCCACAUGUAACCUCUAUCAGCUAACUAUGAGGCGCAUGUGCCGGCCUCGCGCCGCCCGACGGAGGAGCAGGUGGCCCGCGGCCAGGCCAAGCGUACGUGCAGCUGGUGUUGCGCAUCCAGAAGCGCAUCUUUGCUGAGGACUGGAAGGCACUGCGGUGGACGCCGGCGGCCCCGCGCCUGGCGUACGCCGCCCUGGCGGCGGACGCGGUGGCAGCGCCGGCGGCCCACAGAGCGCGGCAGCGCUUGCGGCGGCCCACAAAGGUUUGUGCCAACCCAUAUUGUCGCAGCAUGGACGGCCCCAGCGCGCUGAUUGCACCCAGCGAGGGCAAGACCUGCUCCCGGUGCCGGCGGCUCACCUACUGCUGCGGCGCCUGCCAGCUGGAGCACUGGACGGAGACACCUGGGAGACACGCCCCACAGCAAGGCCCGCUCGGAGCUUGUUAAGCCUAGGUCGUGGCAGACACUGGGCUACCGUAUGUGUCUGGCAGCAAAGCCGGGGUGGUGUACUGGUGCAAGCGGACGCAGAUGAAGUUUGUAAGUUUUCGCAGUGCACGGCACGGACGAAUGGGAGACUUGGGCGACGGUUGGUGGCUUCUGAUGUGGCUUGGCACGCGCUUGCCCGAAUCCUGCUGGCGGCAGCCUUUUGGGGUGCCGCCAGUGGGCCGCAUGCGAAAGGACCUUGUGUGUUGAGGACGCGUGACAAGAAAGCAAGGGACAGAUAUUUCCCGACGAUAUUUCCCCUUGCAAGGGAACAGUGUCCCCCUUCGUGUUUCCAAGUUUCCUUGGCUGGGCUGGACUUAGGUCGUUUCUCGGACUCUGCUGUAUCAGCUACUUGCUUCUCCACGGAACUGCGCCCCUAACCCUGUUCCGUCAUGCCCCCCCCGUACGAGCAUGCACUGUUGGACCUCUGGUUCAUACCCCCCGCGGUCCGGGGACUCAGCCCAAACGACGCUCACGGGACAAGGCCACUACGCUUGGCACUGAGUUUUUGUAACGCCGCGCUGCCGCGCUAGUGCGGCACUCGCAGCCUCAAAACACAACGCAAGUCGCGGGCAUAAAGGUGGGCGCAGGAGGGCACCGUUACUGCCGCUUGACGCAGCUGGGCGCGUCAGUCCGCUGGCGGGGUCAAAGGCGGCGCGCUCGGCUGUCGACGAGAAUAACAGCUCGUAGCAAAACUUGGGUGUCGACGGCCGACCUAACAUGGACGGUCAGAAACGAUUACGCUGUGGUAGCGCCCCUUGCUGAUGAGGCAGAGGGCCAUGCAGUACGCUUGUGCAGGGCGGCCGGACGUUUCGUGAGCCAGUGGCAAGUUAUAGCUGAAGUAAUCCCUUUGACUGAGUUUAAUCGUUUGGCCGCUUCGUUUGAUGGCCGAGUGUAGUCAGCCGCAAACUCCUCCUGCACAGCGCAGGCGUUGUUGCUUUCACCACAACGCCACAUAGUAGCUAAAUUGCCAUGCUAGGCCAAAGAACUUCAUGCUGUUCCCUUUUCAGGGCUGCAGCCGAAGUGCUUCAGCCUGCACUAUGCCGUAUGUGUCUGGCAGCAAAGCCGGGGUGUUGUACUGGUGCAAGCGGACGCAGAUGAAGUUUGUAAGUUUUCGCAGUGCACGGCACGGACGAAUGGGAGACUUGGGCGACGGUUGGUGGCUUCUGAUGUGGCUUGGCACGCGCUUGCCCGAAUCCUGCUGGCGGCAGCCUUUUGGGGUGCCGCCAGUGGGCCGCAUGCGAAAGGACCUUGUGUGUUGAGGACGCGUGACAAGAAAGCAAGGGACAGAUAUUUCCCGACGAUAUUUCCCCUUGCAAGGGAACAGUGUCCCCCUUCGUGUUUCCAAGUUUCCUUGGCUGGGCUGGACUUAGGUCGUUUCUCGGACUCUGCUGUAUCAGCUACUUGCUUCUCCACGGAACUGCGCCCCUAACCCUGUUCCGUCAUGCCCCCCCCGUACGAGCAUGCACUGUUGGACCUCUGGUUCAUACCCCCCGCGGUCCGGGGACUCAGCCCAAACGACGCUCACGGGACAAGGCCACUACGCUUGGCACUGAGUUUUUGUAACGCCGCGCUGCCGCGCUAGUGCGGCACUCGCAGCCUCAAAACACAACGCAAGUCGCGGGCAUAAAGGUGGGCGCAGGAGGGCACCGUUACUGCCGCUUGACGCAGCUGGGCGCGUCAGUCCGCUGGCGGGGUCAAAGGCGGCGCGCUCGGCUGUCGACGAGAAUAACAGCUCGUAGCAAAACUUGGGUGUCGACGGCCGACCUAACAUGGACGGUCAGAAACGAUUACGCUGUGGUAGCGCCCCUUGCUGAUGAGGCAGAGGGCCAUGCAGUACGCUUGUGCAGGGCGGCCGGACGUUUCGUGAGCCAGUGGCAAGUUAUAGCUGAAGUAAUCCCUUUGACUGAGUUUAAUCGUUUGGCCGCUUCGUUUGAUGGCCGAGUGUAGUCAGCCGCAAACUCCUCCUGCACAGCGCAGGCGUUGUUGCUUUCACCACAACGCCACAUAGUAGCUAAAUUGCCAUGCUAGGCCAAAGAACUUCAUGCUGUUCCCUUUUCAGGGCUGCAGCCGAAGUGCUUCAGCCUGCACUGAUGAUUUCGGCUACCGGAAAUUUUUGCUGAUGUGCUUGCAGAUGUUCUCGUGCAAUUCAGCUGGUGAGUUGGCUAAGCGGCGUGGCAUUUGGCACACUCCUUCUGCACAGAGUUUUCGCCUCACCGGCGCCUGCAGACUGUUGCUCAAAUUGUUUUUACAAUGUAUAGAUAGUUGCUGCUGUAAGAAGCGAGGAAACCGCUCGGCUCGCUUGCGCUCUGCAGGUUCUGCGAACGACUGCCGGACUUAGCGGCUGCUUAACUCAUACUUACACAGCCGUAGCAACGUGCAACUUUGUGCGACCAUGAGCUCUUGAAGGAGCUCAGGGGAGCAGCAGUGUCAUUCACACGAUUGCUCCACUUGAGAGCCGAGCUGAAGCUAUACAUGGCAUAGCUGGCGGCCGCGCGUGAGGACUGCGAACAUUGUCGCAGAUGUCCGCCGCCGAGGCGGUCGUAGAGGACUGGUGCGUCGCAGCCCCGCGUGCAAACUCAGACUCGCAGGCGCAGGCUCAGAAGCAGGUGGUACCAGCACUGCCGGCGACGCUGGUCAGUCCGCCCGGCGCGCCGGCUGACUGCAUAAGCUGUUUCACAAGCGACGCCGCCUUCUCCCGCCUCAGCUUAUCCUCCGGCCUUGCCAGCUGCAGCAGCAUCAGCGGCGGCGUUCAUGCCAUACAUUCCCUGCUGCUGGGCAGCGUCGCCGCCACCGCGCCCAGCUUUGGCGGCCUGGCGGCUGUUGCAGAGGCCGCGCCGGCCCACGGCGCCGCAGCUGACUGCCAGGCUGACGUCAUCGCACCGCCCGCAUCGGCGGCGCAUGGCGGCCGUGGCAGGGGCGGCCGCCGAGCCUUUGGCAGCGACGGGCACCUGAUGCCGCCCACGCGCCGCGCCGCCUCAGCCACCAGCUCACACCCCGCCUACACGCAGCAGCACCCCCUGCGGGCCGCGGCAGGGGCCGCUGCUGGCGCCGCCGGCCUGCCGCUAGAGGCCCGCGCCGCCGCGGCCUCCUUCACCGUCGGCAGCAUGGCUGCGGCGAGCGUGCGCGCGCCUGCAGCGGAUGCCGGUCUUGCGGUGGUGGCGUCCGAGGGCUGCAUUUCACCAGCCGCCGCCGCCUCCGGCGCGCGCUCGCACUCCUUCACGCGGCCCGGCAACCGCCGCGCCCGGCAGUCUAUGAUUCAGGGCCAGGGCUCCCGUGCAUCCGCUCACGACGACGUCAGCAGCCCUGACAGCGCACGCUUCCAUGGCGGCUCGCCGAGUGAGGCCCACAGCAACGGCGAUGGCGCGGCCGACGCGGCGCCGCUACCGGCCGCCGACAUGGCGGGUGAAGGCGAUCUGCUGCGCGCCUCAGCAGCGGUGGCGAUGGCGCUGCUGCCACCGGCAACACUCCCCGUCCGCAUCAUUACCCCGCGCAGCACGAAGGAUCUGGCUGCGACGGGCGGCGGCGGCGGGGCUGCCAGUGUCUCCACCACUGCCGCUGCCACGCCCAGCGCAGACCCCAUCUCUUCAGCUGCUGCAGGGGUACCUGUGGAAGAUUGCGCAAUCGUGGCGGCCUGUGAUGUGGGAGUCCCGGAAGGACUUACACGCGUGCCCAGCAGGAGCCAUCGUGGCGGCGGCAGAGGCGGAGGCGCCGGCGAGCAGCCGCACGGCCUGCAACACGGGCAUCCCCACGAAGGGACCUCCGCUGACUCUGCCGCAGCGCCUGGCGGCUCUGCCGCAGGUGCGGGUAGCAGCGAGCCCGCGCCGCCCGUCGCGGACGUCACCUCUGAUGAGUUGACGGCAGUGGCGGCUGCCGCCGCCGCUGCCGCCGCGGCGGCUGCCGUCGCCAAGGCUUCCACCAUCACAGUCGUGCGCAGCCGGUCGAUCAACACCGGGCCUACGCUACACCCGGGCGCGAGCCGCGCAGCAGCUGCUGCCGCCUGCGAUUCGGCUGGUCACAACACCGGCUCCUUCACUCGCGCCGCACCGUCGUCAGCACUGGGGACGCCGCCAGCGGACCAGAUGGGCAGUGCAGGCGGCAGCGGCAGCGCCGCCAUAGGCAGUAGCUCCAGCCGGCGGCGGCUGCUCCGCGAAGCUGGCGCGAUGCAGGUGGCGGUGGAGGAGCGCGCGGACCCCGGCAGCGCCGGCGCGUCGCGGCCGCCCGCCCUGCACAGCAGCGGAAGCAGGAGCGGCGCAGCCGCUGCUGCCUUCGGCUCGGGCUCUACCGGCCCGGUUUCCGCGCAGCAGCAGCAGCAGCAGCAGCAGCAACAAACGCACCCGCAACAGCGCGGCUCGCUACGGCGCCAGGCGGUGGUGCCGGCUGAGGAGGACGGCACGGGCGAUACAAUGCACGAUGCAGAGCUGGACUCUGAUGAGGAAGAACUGAUGGCGGCUAUUCGGUUUCAGCAAUCUCCGCGAGGGCCUCAGCAGGGCUGGGCCGCCGACGCCCGUGCCGGCGCCGGCGCCGGCACCGGCACCGGCGGUGUGCCGCCACCGCCUGCCCGCGAAUCUCCCAGGCCCGGCGGCGCCACCGCCGCCGGCUCGCCGCUUCCGGCGCCGCCGCCGCCACCUCCGCCGCCGCCAGGCAGCCGUACACCGCCGCCGCAGCGCUCGCCGCUGCCAGCUGAGCCCAACGGCGGGCUGAGGCGGACCCACUGCGGUGUGGUGGGUGCCGGCGGCGGCGCCAGCGCCGCGCCCGACGCAGCUGAUCUGGACGCAGCCCGCGUGGCGGCGGCUGUGAGCAGCCGCGCCCGCAACUCGUAUGGCGGCGUGCUUAGUUCUGUGGAGUGGGCGGCCGGCGGCGGAGGCGCCGCAGAGGCAGAUCAACGUGGCAGGAGCCGCGUCGGGGGCGGGCGUGGACUCGGAGGCGGAGCUGGGGGAGGUCGCUCGCCAACACUGAGCACCGGCGGGAUGCGAAGCUUGACGGGCGGCUUGGCGGCGGCUGAGGGCGGCGGCGGCAGUGGCCUGCAAGACGACAUGCCGACGCGGUGAGAAAACGGGGCGUUAGCUGGGUCACGUGGUUUAUGUGUCGGAGCGUGUUGAGGGCAAUGCUGCUGGGUCGAUAAUCGUCGUGGAGGCUGUCCAAACCAAGACAAGGCACUGCGGGAAGGUCUGGAUGACUCAUCUCCACAGCAACGCAACCCAAUCAACGCAACGCAAUCCGCUUACAUCUCACCGCAGGACGUGGCUGGAUCUGCAGCCGCCGCCACCGCCGCCGCCGCCGCCACCCCGCCGUCCGGGGGCGGGCUUUGCGGAGGGCGGCGGCGAUGCGCCUGCCAGCCUCCACGGCGACCACCACUCGCGCAACUCACCGUUGCCGUCCCCACCUCCACCGCCUGCCCGACAGCAGCCACCAAAUGUGUCUGGCCCUCCGCCGCCUCCACCGCCACCGCCACCGCAACGCCAGCACCAGUCGCCGCAGCCGCGUUCACAAGUGCCGUCGCCGCCGCCACCUCCCCCUCCUCGGGUUUCAUCACCUCAGCCGCCGCCGCCGCCGCCACCACCGCGGCCGCUAUCGCAGGGCUCGUCCCCCAUGCAUCGGCAGCCGCCCCCACCGCCGCCACCUCCGCCACCGCCGCGCCUCGCUUCUCCGCAAUCGAACUUUACACAGCCGGUCAUCGGGCAGCCGCCUUCAGCUAACAGUUCCGUGUCACAGCCUCCUCCUCCCCCACCGCCCCCGCCUCCACCGCCUUCAGCGGAGCACCUGCCAUCGCGGCAGCAAUCUGCCAUAGCAGGCGCCGCAGCGGCUGGGGGCUCCCGCGGCGCCGCUAGCGGCGGCAUCCAGUCGCACAAUGCGGACUUCCGCCAAGCACGCCACGGCAGCGGCGCCGCCGGAAUAUCCAACCACGACGGCAUUACAUUCAGUGGCGGUUUUGCUGAGGAUGGCGGCAUUGGCGGCGGCCGGCUAGGCCUGGAAACUUUAGGAAUGGCGGCGGUACCGGCGGCCACAAGCGAUGCCGACGCUGUAGAAACCGGCGCUGUAGACGGCGACCUGCCGCCCCGCGGCGGCAGCCAGAUGGACGUCAAGUGGGAGCAGUCAGUGGCGGAUGCCGCGGUGGCGGCGGCGCAGGGCGCCAGCCGCAGCAUCUGGGCGGACGCCGCCACCGCGGCGGUCGCGGAGGCGCAGGCGGCGGGCGGUGGUGCCGGAGGCGUGGCGUCGCUGCAGUCGCAGCCGUCGGGCCCGGAGCACUUGGACUUGGGGGCACCUAUCAGGUAGGAACGGAAAGUGAGAAGGGGGCAUAGGCAGGCAGAGAGCGUUCAUGCGCAUGGCAGCAGCUUCCUGCUGGCUCCAACGUGCAUGGACCCACAUGCGCCGGGCGCACACGUGGCGUGCCCUGCCCUGCCCUGACCUGACCUGACCUGACCUGACCUGACCUGACCUGACCUGACCUGACCUACCCGCCGGCUGGACACACACGACUUGCCUGCCGCAGGCUGCAGCCCUCGCAGCACUCGGCCGCCAGCACCAGCGCCGACUUGGACACCACGCCCUGGCCCAUGCUUCUCGGCUCCGUCGCUGCCGCUGCCAACAGCCCUUCAGCAGCCGGGUCUGCAGCUGCUGCUGGCGGCAGAGACGCCAGGCAGAGCACCGGACACGGCGAUGAGGAGGCGGCGCUGGCGGCGGUCUCGGCGGCGGCGCGCGCGCGCCUGAUCGCCGCGGUGGGCUGCCUGGGCCCAGACUCGUUGAACAGUAGUGACGAGGGCGUGCGCAGUGGCGGUGCCGGCCCCGCGCACGUGUCCCUGUCUGGCGGCAUCGCCAGCGGCGGCAUCGCGGGCUCGCCAUUGGCGCCUGGCGGCGCGGCGAUGGCGGCGGCGUCUGGACGUAGAACGCAGCAGCCGCUGCCGCCGGAAUGGGCGGGCGGCGCGGAUGCCGCAGCCAGCGCGGCUGCGUCGGAGGCUGCUGCGGCGGCGGCGGUUGAUGCGCACCUCGCUGCUUUGGGUUUGGGUCAGUUGGACGCGCAUACGGCGCUGGCGGCCGCUGCCGCUUCGGCGGCGGCCGCGGGCGGGUAUAGCAACGAACAUCGCGCAGCUAUGGCGCAGGAGCAGGUGCAACGGCAACAUCAGCAGCUGCAGCAGCACCACCACCAGCAACAACUGCAACAGCAACAGCACCAAGCUGCGCCGCAGCGCCGCUCACCGCCGCCGCCACCGCCCAUCCAGCUUCCCGCAACGCUCGGGGGCUGGGCCCUGGACGCAACCGCCUCAACGGGGCUGAUCAGCUCGCCGCCCUCGACCUCGCACUCGCAGCACCUGCACAACCUGCACUCGGACUCAUCCACCAGCGCCGGCGGUGGCACCACCCCCGGCGGCGCCGGGCCUUCCCACCUCCCGAUGCCGUCGCCACCGCUCAGCCCGCAGCUGCUUCAGCCGCACAUACUGGCGGAGUACGACCUGGGGCCGCGCGACGGCUCCGUCACUUCCGCCGUCAGCGGCUCUGGCAGCUCGUUCCUGUCCCAGCGCCACUCGCAGACGCCGCUGCACACCGGCGGCGGUGGCGGCCCAGGCGUCUCCGCUGCUGGCGGAAGCGCUGGCGCUGUUGCCGCCGGCGGGCGCAGCGGCGAGUUCACGCUGGAUGCCAUUAGCGCUGUGGACUGGUCGCUGGGAGCGUUUGGCGGCAGCGGUGGUGGCGGUGGCGGUGGAACCGGCGGCGGCGCCGGUGCCGCUGGCGGCGUGCCGACGUCGCUCCGCUCACCGCCGGCGCCCACCUCCCCCGGCUCGCACCCGCACUUGGUACAUCUAGGCCCGGGCUGCAGCAGCGCCAGCAGCGCAAGCGGCAUUAGCGCAAUGAGCGGAGCCAGCGGCGCGGGCAGCAAUGCCGGCAGUACCGUCGCGUCGUCGCGUCUGGCGGCCCUGCACUUCGCCGCACUGCGCGUCCCGUCUAGCAGCGGCGGCAGCCACAGCGCCGCCUUCUCGCCGCUUGGCGCCGCCUCCUCGCUCAGCUCCGCCUCCUUGCACCAGGCCGUCUACUCGCCGGUCGUCGGAGGCCCCAGCCGCAGCGGUGGCAGCGCCUCCUCAGCCGGCGUCGCCGCCGGCUUUUCGCCGCUCGUCUCUGCGCGCUCGCCGCUCGGCUUUUCGCCACUGGGUGCGGGCGCCGCAGGCGCCGGCAGCAGCGCCGCAGGCGCGCUGGCGCAAGCCGGCAGCACUAGCUCCGCGGCGGCAGCUGCCGCCGCCGCUGCUCAUGCGGCGCGCUACCGCGGCGCCGCCGCCGCGGCUGGGGCGGCGGAGUCGGAGCUGGUAAUGCGGACGUCGUCGUUCCCGACGCUGCAGCAGCAUUUGCAGCAGCAUGGUGUGGGCGAUGGCGGAAUGGCGGAUGGGCUCGGGCCCGACCUGCAGCGCGCCGGCAUGGCGGCCGGCGGCUCCGGCCAUUCCUACACCUCUUACUCGCACCAGUACCAGCACCGACAACAACAGCAGCAGCACCAGCAGUCACGGUUCGGCGCCGCCGCUGCGGCAGCGGCGGCUGGCGGCGGCGGAGCGUACGGCAAUGUUGCCGCGGAGUACGGCGGCGGCGGCGAGUACGGGGCCGCGGCGGACCCAUUUGCGUCGCUGGCCUGCCGCAGCAGCAUCUCCAUGCCGCACUUCCAUUUCACGCCGGGAGCCGGUGCCGGCGGCCACGGCGGCGACGAAUACGAGCACGUGGCGGCGGAUGAGGUGGUGGCGGCGCUGGCGGCGGCGCGACAGCUGAUGCCGCAAGGCAUGGGCAGUCUGGGCGGAGCACUGCGCGCCGCCAGCUACACCCCAGGCAGCGGCAGCGCAGACGCGGCUGUAGCCGCCGCUGUUGCCGCGGCUGCUGCUACUGCCGCCGGCAUGGGCCACCCACACCCGCACCAGCACUUGCAACGGCAGCAGCACCUAGAGUCGCCGGACUACGGCCCCGCGUCUGGGCAGCUUCGGUACUCAUCUUCCUACAUGCUUCAACAGCAGCAACAGCAGCAGCAGCACCCGCAACUUCAGCACUUGCAGCAUCCGCAGCUGCCUGGCCAAGGCCGCUAAUGGGUGCGCAGGAACUGCAACCUGCAGUGGCCGCGGUAGCGGGAGAUAGCUGCUGAAGCAGGCACCGCGCAAUGGCUUUGCGGGCUGGAGUUAGCGCCUGCAUGCCUGCUUGGAAGGGAACACCAAUAGGCGGAGGAGACGGCAUGCCCGGAUAUUGACAAACACUUGCUCAUGAUUGUGGUAUCGGAUGGCUUUGUUUAUUUGCUUAACUCCAAACAGUCUUCGUGGUAAACUGUGACACAUCAUAAUCAUCGUUAGCAACAUAGCUGGCUGUGCGGACUGUCUGCACCUCCUUCACGAUCCAGCCCGCUCUGCACAACUGCAGGCGGGCUGAGCCUUGCCAUCGCUAAUUCACGUCUUCGCUCGCGCGUCCACCAGCAAGCCUGCAUCCACUACCAUAGAACAUGUUAGCCUGUUGUUUUUCUUGUUUGCUUUCGCGUUCGUCCAUGUGCGCCCGGCAGGGAUAAUCGGAUUAGAGCAUUGGUUUGAUGGCUCCACCGCACGUGGUGGCGUCUAGUGUGCUUAUUCAUGUGGCGCUCCCCAUCCGACCGUGUCAUGUCCGCAUACGCAUACAUACUUGGCAGAGAGACACGGUUGAGCCAAGCUGCCCAUGACCCUUCAGCAUGGAAGCAUAGUUUGUUGGCAUUGCGUGCAUGCUGCCAGUUUGCUGCGCAUUAUUAUGGUAAUUGUUGCGUGCGCUGACUUGUCUCGUUCAAGUGUUGUAGCCGUGUGGCAUUUGGCCCGCGUCAAUCAGCAGUAGCCGAGCCCAUCAGGCUUUGCCAGCAGGCGGCGGCUGCUUUUAGCUGUCAAGAUGUUGUGCGGUGCGGGAAGUUGAUCCACAUCGCGGGGGUGGUCGGGCGGGCUGACGGGAAGUAUGUUUGAAUCCUCCAAGCUGGAUGUCAAAGCCUUGCCCGGAUGGCUAGAAAGGAAGGGUGCAGGUAUGCUGUGUAGCUAUGCCCGUGGAUGCUGCUGCCGUUUGGCUAGGGCAUGUCGCUUGGACUAGCCACAGUCGUGCAUUGCAGCGGGAUUCUCUAGUGCUCUUUCAUACUGCCGUUGCAGAUUGUGUGGAUGCUAUGCGCAAGCAUGGAGGGGGGCAUGAGGCGGGCAGGCAAAAGCAUGUGCACGUACGCGUUCAAGCAACGGCAGGGGUGCGCGGGUUGCAUGCAGGAGUAAUGGGUUUAUCACUGUGGUGGGGAUGGGGUACUGCAAACAUUUCGUUUGAUGAUAGAUGUGGUAGAGGUACAUGCUUGCUGUGUGUGUUCACGGGGGUUGGUAACAAAUGCAACGAAAGCAGCGGCAGGCGCCUGCGCACCGCUUGUUGAAGCAUGAACUACCGCUCGGAGGUACGGGCGUGUCUGAAACUUUUCGAGGGAAACGUCCGAGGGCCUGAGCCUUCCUUUUCAAUGGACAUGGCUGGUAAGCACGCGGGUUUCAAGGUCAUGAUUGAGAGUGGGCAAUGGAUGAUGUGCGCAGCCCGUCGAAGGGAUACGGGUCUUCGGUCUUGGCACCUCCAGCUGCUCAACGGGGACUCGAUGGGCAUUUACUUACGCCACCACCCCCAGAGGUCCAUUGUGCGUCUGGAAGGGUCCGCUCCUCUACGCUUGCUUUCUUGGCUUGAAUGCGUGAUAUAUGUAUGUAACAUUACAAGAAGGGAUUUAUGUGGAUGGAUGGUCGCUCGACACCAACGAAGCUGUGGACGUGUGGGUCGUCUAGGCAGUCCCUAUUGUCCCAUGCGUCAGUGUGUUGAGUGUGGAGCCACAUACCGUGUGAUAGCUAGCCCUGGUGCUGUGCGGCGAGAUGGGGGCCAGGGGCUUUUGUGGCGCUGCCAUGUUACGACGGCAGGACGGUCAUGCGUGAGGUGGCUGCAUGCGCAGGUUGUUGUGGUUCACAACGACAUGGUGUGCACAGAGCUGCCGCCCGCCUGUACGCGCCACUACAAAGGGCUGACGGCAUAUUCGCCGCUCGCGUCAGAGAGUAAUGCCGUGCCGAUGUGCCUUCACUUGUAAUAAAGAAUGCGGCUUAACUAGAUGCAUGAUGAGGCUGAGGUUGGAUAGAAAGAGAGAGAGAUGCCAUGGUGGCAAGCGGGUCCGCCGGGAAUGAGGCCAGGGGUGCUGGGAACGAGGCACCCGGCGGCGCCUACGAUCUAUGAAGUGCUCGCAGAUGCGUAUCGUGCAGCUGCACAUCAUCUCAAUAAUGUCGGCGCCUCCGCUGUGCGGCUGUGCGCAACCGUGUGAGCUGACAUGCCUGAGCUAAGAUGAUGUCACGGCAAGGCGGGCGCACGCGUGUUGCAUAGUAAGACAUUGCACCGCAGGCACUGCGAAUGCAUCACACCUGUGCCUUCCUAAAGACACGCCGCCACUGGACACCUGGCGGGCGGUGCCUGUAUAAUAUUAAUACAUGCGCAACGCUUGAGGGGCCGUAGCUCAGGACGGCGGACGUGGGGGGGGGUUAGGGGAAGGUGCGCGCGGUGUGGGUGGGGAUGGGGGGUGGCGGGCAUGGGGGGCGGGGUUGGUGGGUGGGCGGCGCACGGUGACGUCGUGAUAUGGGAAGGCGCGGCGUGCGUGGCCGCGGAAAACCGGGUGGCAGCGUCUUGGAUAGACGCCGGUCCCGGUAGUAUGCAGGAGGGAACGCAUUAAGUCCUUCAACAGCGUUCCCUCCUGCAUAUAUUUUAAUGACGAGCUGGGGCUUUUCGUUGGGUAUGUGGGACUUGCGUGCCGUCAGGCCUUCGGCAACGCCGGCAACGGCAACAGGCGGCAACGCGGGCCCUGCCGCCAAACGUUCACUGAAUCCGCGCACACAGUAGCGAGCACAUCGCGUGCACCAGACCUUGGGGCGGGUACACGUCUGUUGGUAUAUGGCCAACGCAGGAACGAAGAUACAGCAACACUGCGAGGCACUGCGGGCUUUCAGUGGGCAUAGAUGCAGGUCCGCGGGUUGGACACAGUGGCGCAAGUCUUACCACAACCCAAAACACUUAGCCACACUAUAUAAUCACACGGAAUACGCUGCUGACGCACCUAGUAGACGGUCGGCAGGUCCAGGACCUUGAUGUUCCAUGAGUUCACAACUUUGCACUGUUUUCAAGCGCCAGGCAGUUUGUUCGUCUGGGUUGCGGCCUAUUUGGCGCUUUGGAAAAUUGCGUAGUAUUGCUAUGCGCGCCUGUCACGAGGUUGCUCAUAGCAACGCGGACGCGAACCCUUCCCAGCAGCGGUCUGGCCCGCAUGUUCAAGCAUUUAAGCGAACCGCUGCCUCCAGGUGGAGGUCGCGCGGUCCAGCAAGCCGCGGGUGGGUAAAUACUUUUUGGGUUUGUGUCCAGGGUUUGUGGACGCUGCGAAACGCUUGCUUACUUUUUUAUCCUUCUUGCCUCAGGCUGCAGACCAAGCUUCUCAAGGAACUCCUUGAAACACAGCAUGGCACUAAAAGGAAA